UAACACACACAUACUCUUAUCCAGACCCUGAAGGUUGCUGGCAUUUUUCCUUUUUAAAUUUCCUUUUAAAACUCAUCUUUAAGAGAUGUUUAAACAUAUAUGUAAAGUUUCUCAUUGCAUGGUUAAGCUCCUGGAAGGCAGAGUUUGUCCUGAUUUAAUAUGGUAUAUUCCCCAGAGUUUGUACCUUUCUGCUGGUCAUAAAUUAGUGGUUGAACAAUGAAUUAAGGAAUCAACAAAUACAUGAAUUGCGAGAGUUAUGGUCACAUCUGCAUCUUAGGUCUAAUUUUCCAACAGAGGUUGACUUUUCUAGCCUGAAAUUAUUAAAAAAAAAAAAAAUUCUGGGGCAUUGGGGCCUGGCCCCCAGGCCAUUUGGCAUGUGUGGUUCAGGCUGCAAACUGUUUUCCCUGACUUGUUCUAAUUGAUUUCCAUGCUUUGGAGUUCAGUGUGUGUCUGAGAUUCUUUGGGUGAGAACAAGGUUGAACUUGGAGGCAGCCCAACCUGAUGGACAGUCCUGGACUCUGGGAUCAGGUGGGCCAGACACUGGGCUCACCUGUCAAGCAGCUUCAGGAAAAUGAUCUUAGCUAAGACCCAGCAUCCUUCUGAUGAUGGCGACAAGUAACAGUCCUGCCCGAGCUUCCCUGCUGGCUCAGCGGUGAAGGAUCCACCUGCCAAGCAGGAGAGCAUUACUUCCCUCCCUUUUGCUGGUAGAAGAUCCAGAUUUAAAUCUCACUGACAUAUGUGGACACCUGCACUGCGUAAGGCAUGGGUUAAAAAGUUCUUUUGAGCUCCACCAUCUCCAGUGACAUAGGAGAACGGAGGCCAGGAGAAGAAUGGGUAAUUAGGCAUGGUUCCACAGAUAACAGGGCUUCCCCAAUGGCUCUGUGGUAAAGAAUCUGCUUGCAGUGCAGGAGCCGUUGGAAACAUGGGUUGGGAAUAUUCCCUGCAGGAGGAAAUGGCAGCCCACUCUAGUAUUUUUGCCUGGAAAAUCCCAUGGGCAGAGGAGCCUGGCAGGCUAUGGUCCAUGGGGUUGCAAAGUGUUGGACACGACUGAGUGACUGAACAUGAGUGCCAUGGAUAAAGAUACUGAACUUGGGUUCGGAUCAGGACAUCUGUGUCUGAAUGCAAGGCCAUCAAGAGGUCUCCACUGGAAUGUGCUGCCUUCCUCCUGGGGCCUGGAUCCUUGUGAUUCUGAAUCCAGAAACAAAAUUCAGCUAACUUUGUUUUCACAGAAUUGGAAGUCAAGAAGUCAGAUUCAAGAAGUGCUGGUCCAUCUGUCUGCAUGUUCCUCACCCUGUGAAUUUUUAUAUUGGAAUAUAAUUUCACUGGAAUAUAAUUGCAAAUGUAACUUUACAAUGCGAUGUUAGUUUCUGUUGUACAAUGAAGCUUGUCAGCUAUAUGCAUACAUAUGCUGCUGCUGCUAAGUCGCUUCAG